rnacentral:rRNA from 1 species
AGUCUGCAUGGAGCCGACCUUGAAAUACCACCCUUUAAUGUUUGAUGUUCUAACGUUGACCCGUAAUCCGGGUUGCGGACAGUGUCUGGUGGGUAGUUUGACUGGGGCGGUCUCCUCCUAAAGAGUAACGGAGGAGCACGAAGGUUGGCUAAUCCUGGUCGGACAUCAGGAGGUUAGUGCAAUGGCAUAAGCCAGCUUGACUGCGAGCGUGACGGCGCGAGCAGGUGCGAAAGCAGGUCAUAGUGAUCCGGUGGUUCUGAAUGGAAGGGCCAUCGCUCAACGGAUAAAA